AUGCAGACCCACCACUACAGACAUUUCUCCUGGAGGGAGAGCAGUCAGCCACCCAGGAGGGGUAACUUCUCCUCUUUUCCAUGCCUCGCAGUGACUGUCACCGUCUCCACCGUGAGCUUACUCAGCGUCGCUCUGUGGGAAGCAGAGUUAAACAUGGACAUCCCCACACCACUCUCUUCAGGAGACGCUAACCAGAGAAUGUUCUCUCAAGCGAAGCCAUGCAAUACUGAAGCAUCUGAAACAAGAAGCGUCAUUUUUAAUAUUCAGUGUAAUCAGAGGGAUACCCUCCUCCUGAAUAGGCUGGCAAAGCAUACCAGGUUCAGCAGUGGACAUUGUACCAGUACAGACUGACAAAUAUCUGGAGCCUUCUGGGUAUGUCUGUGGGGUUUGCUGAAACAAGGUGACUUUUCUGGGAUUUGAGAACUCUUUCCUUUUGCAUGGGAUUUCUGGGCUGUUGGAGAAAGUUGAUGCGAGUUCCCUUCAUCCUGAGCUCCUCACACAUCUGGAGAGUAUGCACAGAUCACCAGGGGCACAGCCUGUUUCCUAGCACUAGCUAGAAGUGUCAGAAUUGCACUGUCCUGCUGUGACAUGCCUGUGCAGAAUGGCUGGUACUUUCCAGAAGAACUGGGCAGAAUUACU
rnacentral:lncRNA from 1 species